AAAUCAAACCAGUAAAAAAUAAAUUAAGAUAGGGAACCUUACGUGCAGCCAAUUCCAUACGUGGACACAAUGUAUACGGAUACACGCAUGCAAAUAAGACAUGUAUAUGGACUACAUAGAGGACUCCACAAGGACUUUCCAAGGCAUGAUGGAAAAAAGGACUUGCCAAGGCAACCACGACAGAUAAAAAGGCAUACAUCCGACCGCACCCAACACAUGCCCAAAAAAUUAGGUCAGCCAAAUAUGCUACCAGGCUAGCAUACUACCAAUAAAUUCAAAGUCUUCUGAUUCAACUAGGCAACGUCACAACGCCGGACGUAGUCGUGCCCAAGCAACCUUCUGAGUGGCCUCUCACCUGAAUCAUCAAGGUCCGUAAUUGCUAUUCUGGAUCCAAUCCUUUUGAGUGGCCUCUCACCUGAAUCAUAAAGGUUUGUAAUUGUUAUUCUUGACCCGAUCUACGGGCUGCCAGAUGUAGUCGUGCCCAAGCAACCUUUUGAGUGGCCUCUCAACAGAAUCAUCAAGGUUUGUAUUCUGGACACAAUCUUCAUACGUGCAUUAUUAAUUCACUAGAGAUUGUAUGAUCCUUUUACAGCAAUGUCAUACAACAAGCUUGGAGAGUUCACAACAAGAAGACAAGACUGUGUAUUGAAGCGCAAGUAAUGAGAAUAUGAGAUUAAUCAAUUCUACAACCAAAUGGCUUUGGAUCCCCAAUAUGAUAUUCAUGCAUGAAAAGGUUUAGUCAUUACAUAUAUAUUUGAAGAUUGUUCUAUUGUUCUAUACAAUUAAGUAUAUUUUGCCGAUAUGAAAUUCAUGGAUGAAAAGGUUUAGUCAUUAUAUAUUUACUUGCAUAUUGUUCUAUUGUUUUAUAGAACUACUAAGUACAUUUCGAUUGUUUUCACAUGGCCAAACAAUUCAUGCCACUAUCAGGAAGAAGUUUAUAGACACAUAUAGAUCAAAGAUAAAUGAGAAUCUAUUUAAACAUUUAGAAAUUUUAAGGUUCUGGAAUCCACAAAGUAUAACCGAGUAAGCAGUGAAAUAUAAUUAUGUCUGCGUACAUUACAAAAGUAGAGGCGAAAGGAUCAUCUGAAGGUUACCCAGCUUACUACUUCGAGUUUGCUACAAAAGAAACAUUAGAAGAACAUGCAGAGAAAUAUAAAAGAAUGCUCACAUAUCUCUAUAGUCUAUAGUUGUAAAUAAGACUUUCAAGAUAUUAAUAUUUUUAACUUCAAAAUAAUUAACUCCGCUUUUAAAGACAUCAUUGGAUUACUCACCCAAACGAAGCAUGUGGAAUCAUUAAUAAAAAAGAAAGAACUCUGAAAAUUCAUACUUCAGCCAAAUUGCAAUUGUAAUAUCAGACUAAGUUCAUAAUAUGUAACCAUUCCUCAAAUUUUAAUUGGACCAACUUCAUUGACAUGGCAUCAAUUUUUCUAGAUUAUACUCUUUAGGGGUGAUAAAAUUAUUGUUAGUUUAUGAGAAAAACUUAUAGCUUCAAUGAGGAUCUAAAUGGCAACCGAACUGUCCUUACUGUGACCUCAGCAAUGAUGCAGAAGUUCAAUGAUAAGUUCAUUAAUGUUACAAGCUCUUCUAUUAUUUACCAAAAUAUGUGCAACAGAUUUUUCUUUGAUUAAACAUAGUUGUGCUUAAUGUCAAGUGCCACAAGAAUAUAUAUAGAUUUAGAUAUACCAAAAACUUCGGUAUAUCUUGGUUAAAGUUUGGGGUAUCAUUAUACAGAUCUAGAUAUACUCAUAUGUGAGAUUCAUAACAUAUAUUUCUUUGACUAAGCAUGGUUGAGGAGGUUAAUUUGCAUUUAAUUCAUUACAAAAUGCCUACUGUGUUCUUUUUUUUGACUGAGAAAUAGUAGGAGAGGCACCUAAUAUGCUAUAAUAAUAUAUAAUAAGUAUUUACAUGGCUAGGAGGAAAGUCCCACCAAAGGAAAACAAACAAGCAGAGUCUAAAGUGAAUUUACAAAAGAAGUGAUAUAAUCACUGAGAUCAGGGGACACUCUGUAUCUAAGCCAGGUAAGAUCAGCCUUAGUUCUCUCAAGCCAAGCUCUAUAUGAAGGACUGAUCUGAUUGAAGAUGAAGUUAUUUCUCUCCUUCCAAAUAUUCCAAGCAGUAAUGGUGAAGAUUUCAAAGAAAAUUCUACCGGAAUAAAUUUCACGUACUGUGUUUGUAGUUUCCUAACUAAUAAGUAUAUCUCACAUAUGAUGCAUAGAAUUUUGGAUGAUGUGUUACAAAAAGCAACGAAGAACCAUAACAUGGAUGCGAAAAAGGUGGUUGAUUUUCUCAGAGUACAUACUUAUCAAUUUUUAGAGACAUGUAUAAUCUUUGAAAUGUAUUUUUAUUUUGUAGAAAAAUAACAAUUGAGAUUCACCUCAGAAAAGGAUAUGUCAAUUGGUUGCCCAUGGGAGAAGAACCACAUGAUACUAUGGGACUAUAGUAAAUGAGUUGAUGGGUGUGAAGAAAAAAUGUCAGCAUCACAUGGACUCUACAAUGGCAAAAGAAACUGAUGGAGAUCUAUUGUAUUAUCGGAUGGCUCAAAUGAUGAAUGCACCGACAUAAGUGUGCAAGAAUGAAAGGAGAAAUAUGUACGUUGGGAACAAGAAACAUGUUGAAGCAAAAGCAAAAAAACCUACAAUGCUUGAAGAUAAAGACUCAGUUGCCCGUUGUGGCAAAAUAAGAUGUAGUGUUACUGCAGCCGUUAGGAGAGCACAAAAAAUAACCAAAGAGCUAGAUGGCCACAAGACCGGAAUUGUUGAUGUAAAAUGCUAUUCCCUUUGUAAAGAAAUAUAAGAGCGUUUAGAUCACUAGUCUUAUAUUUCUUUAUGGAGGGAGUACAAGACAAGUGGGCAGUUAGAAGAUACAGUAGACAGAAAAAACACAAAAUUAGUUGAUUAGUAGCUUAUAGUGAAACUAAGGCAGACUACUACUGAGAUGGAGAAGAACACUUGACAUCUACCGAUAUAAUGAUGUGAGUUAUUAGAUAACAAAAGUAUUGAAUUUAGCACUACAAGAAUCAUGACAUGUUGUAUUUAUUUGAUUGAAAUAUGAGUUUUCUGCUCUUCAUGACAACUCUUCAAUCCAACAGACUUUUCAGAUCAAGAGAAAUAUUAGAAAGGCUUCAAUAUUAUCCUAUGUCAAUUAACACAUGGAUCUUGCUUUGUAUUAGAUACACGUAUAUGUAAUAUAUUUUUUUGGUGAAUACGCUUAGCAGCGUAUCAUUUCAUUGAUAGGUAGAAGGGUGUUCACAAGUUACAGGGAUGCUCCCUCGCAGACGUACACAAGCCAGCGUCUAGGAGGUUGCAAGGUGGAGCAGAGGGAGGAGGAUGCUCAGCCUCGGGACACAAGGUUUAAUUUACAGGUAUAAAUCGCGGCUAGCCCUCUACGCUCAGCACAGGUGGAGCAGACGUAUAUGUAAUAUAACUUGCAAAUAUAUGCUAAAAAAAUCAUUAUAUAUUUUUAGCUCAGUUAGAGGCUGAAAACAUACAUGUGAAGAAUCACCCGCUAUGGAGGAAGUAGGAAUGAUAUGAAGCUGUAGCACAUACAUGUGAAAACCCGGCAUGACGAACAAUGAGGGCCACAACUCACCUCAGCCAGCCGACACAUCUCUGUCUUAUUAUUUCUUCAACAUCUGCUUCACAUCUGAUUUGGCACUUCACGACCACAAAUUUCAACAAAUAAAACACAAUGUAUAAAUAGUCUAAUUUGACAGGGAAUAGUGACAAAAAUAAAACAAAAUGUACUAUAUAAUGAUAUGGUCGGAGUACAAGAGACAACCAUGUAAAACUUACACUGGCAGAGGUCCGAAAGCACCAACCAUGAGGAAGGCGAGAACUCGCCACCAACGGGCUAAGACCUACCCAAAUGAGUUCAUCGCUGCUGCAUGCCCAAUCUAAGAUCACCAGAGCUAGGGUUUGGGGACAGUACCAAAACAGAAGGAAACUGGAAGAUAAGAGACAAGAAGUAGCGCCGGGAUAGAUCAGGAAUUAGUUUCACAUAAGCUAGCGGCGGCAUCUUCCUUCGCCGGCUGCCAAUCGAAGGCGGCAGUGUAUGUGGAUAAGGUCAUGAGGAGUGUGGAGUGGAUUGACGGAGAUGGGAGAGACGAAUUCUAAAGAGUCACCAGUCCUUUCCUUCGAGAAAAUUGUUA
rnacentral:lncRNA from 1 species